rnacentral:sRNA from 1 species
AGCAGCCGCGGUAAUUCCAGCUCCAAUAGCGUAUAUUAAAGUUGUUGCAGUUAAAAAGCUCGUAGUUGAACUUCGGGAUUUACCCAUUGGUCAGGCUUAACUGUCUGUACUGGUGUGAUGAAUUCCUACCUUCUGAGGAAUCUCCAUGCCAUUCACUUGGUGUGGUGGGGAAUCAGGACUGUUACUUUGAAAAAUUAGAGUGUUUAAAGCAGGCUAACGUCUGAAUACAUUAGCAUGGAAUAAUAGAAUAGGACGGUUUGGUUCUAUUUUGUUGGUUUCUAGGAUCACCGUAAUGAUUAAUAGGGAUAGUUGGGGGCAUUAGUAUUCAAUUGUCAGAGGUGAAAUUCUUGGAUUUAUUGAAGACUAACUACUGCGAAAGCAUUUGCCAAGGAUGUUUUCAUUAAUCAAGAACGAAAGUUAGGGGAUCGAAGACGAUCAGAUACCGUCGUAGUCUUAACCAUAAACUAUGCCGACUAGGGAUCGGACGAAGUUAAUUUUUAAAUGAC